GGCCUGUUAGCUCAGCUGGCUAGAGCAUGGUGCUAAUAUCGCCAAGUUCAUGGGUUCCAUCCCCACAUGGGCCA
rnacentral:tRNA from 1 species